rnacentral:rRNA from 1 species
UACGUAGGCAGCGAGCGUUGUUCGGAGUUACUGGGCGUAAAGGGUGUGUAGGCGGUUGUUUAAGUUUGGUGUGAAAUCUCCCGGCUCAACUGGGAGGGUGCGCCGAAUACUGAAUGACUAGAGUGCGGGAGAGGUGAGUGGAAUUCCUGGUGUAGCGGUGAAAUGCGUAGAUAUCAGGAGGAACACCGGUGGUGUAGACGGCUCACUGGACCGUAACUGACGCUGAGACACGAAAGCGUGGGGAGCGAACAGG